GAUGAACGCUGGCGGCGUGCCUAACACAUGCAAGUCGAGCGAAGCGCUGUUUUCAGAAUCUUCGGAGGAAGAGGACAGUGACUGAGCGGCGGACGGGUGAGUAACGCGUGGGCAACCUGCCUCAUACAGGGGGAUAACAGUUAGAAAUGACUGCUAAUACCGCAUAAGCGCACAGGACCGCAUGGUGUAGUGUGAAAAACUCCGGUGGUAUGAGAUGGACCCGCGUCUGAUUAGGUAGUUGGUGGGGUAAAGGCCUACCAAGCCGACGAUCAGUAGCCGACCUGAGAGGGUGACCGGCCACAUUGGGACUGAGACACGGCCCAAACUCCUACGGGAGGCAGCAGUGGGGAAUAUUGCACAAUGGGGGAAACCCUGAUGCAGCGACGCCGCGUGAAGGAAGAAGUAUUUCGGUAUGUAAACUUCUAUCAGCAGGGAAGAAAAUGACGGUACCUGAGUAAGAAGCACCGGCUAA
rnacentral:rRNA from 1 species